rnacentral:rRNA from 1 species
GACGAACGCUGGCGGCGUGCUUAACACAUGCAAGUAGAACGGAAAGGCCCUGCUUUUGUGGGGUGCUCGAGUGGCGAACGGGUGAGUAACACGUGAGUAACCUGCCCUUGACUGUGGGAUAACUUCAGGAAACUGGGGCUAAUACCGGAUAGGAGCUCCUGCGGCAUGGGGGGGGUUGGAAAGUUUCGGCGGUUGGGGAUGGACUCGCGGCUUAUCAGCUUGUUGGUGGGGUAGUGGCUUACCAAGGCUUUGACGGGUAGCCGGCCUGAGAGGGUGACCGGCCACAUUGGGACUGAGAUACGGCCCAGACUCCUACGGGAGGCAGAAGUGGGGAAUAUUGCACAAUGGGCGGAAGCCUGAUGCAGCAACGCCGCGUGCGGGAUGACGGCCUUCGGGUUGUAAUCCGCUUUCGCCUGUGACGAAGCGUGAGUGACGGUAAUGGGUAAAGAAGCCCCGGCUAACUACGUG